GGUUAUCCAUGAACAUUUGGGGGUUCCAAUUAAUUCCUAGCCGGCUAGCCCAAUGCCGAGAAUCCAUCAUCCAUAUCCAUAUGAUCCAAUGACUCCAAUCCAUUAUCCAUAUCCAUUAAUCCAUAGUCCAUAGAUGAUAGACCUAAGACCAUAAUCCACUCUCCACUCCAUUGUCUCCCCACCGAUUUCUGAUGAGAAAAAUGUAGAAAAAUCUGAAAACUUAAUAAACUCUAAGGCACGAAAAACGUUAUCUUUUAAGAGAUGUUUCUU
rnacentral:lncRNA from 1 species